rnacentral:rRNA from 1 species
AGUCGAACGGAACGCGGAGAGAAGCUUGCUUCUCUCCGGCGACGAGUGGCGAACGGGUGAGUAAUACAUCGGAACGUGUCCGCUCGUGGGGGACAACCAGCCGAAAGAUUGGCUAAUACCGCAUGAGUUCUACGGAAGAAAGAGGGGGACCCGCAAGGGCCUCUCGCGAGCGGAGCGGCCGAUGACUGAUUAGCCUGUUGGUGAGGUAACGGCUCACCAAAGCAACGAUCAGUAGCUGGUCUGAGAGGACGACCAGCCACACUGGGACUGAGACACGGCCCAGACUCCUACGGGAGGCAGCAGUGGGGAAUUUUGGACAAUGGGCGCAAGCCUGAUCCAGCUAUUCCGCGUGUGGGAUGAAGGCCCUCGGGUUGUAAACCACUUUUGUAGAGAACGAAAAGACACCUUCGAAUAAAGGGUGUUGCUGACGGUACUCUAAGAAUAAGCACCGGCUAACUACGUGCCAGCAGCCGCGGUAAUACGUAGGGUGCGAGCGUUAAUCGGAAUUACUGGGCGUAAAGGGUGCGCAGGCGGUUGAGUAAGACAGAUGUGAAAUCCCCGAGCUUAACUCGGGAAUGGCAUAUGUGACUGCUCGACUAGAGUGUGUCAGAGGGAGGUGGAAUUCCACGUGUAGCAGUGAAAUGCGUAGAUAUGUGGAAGAACACCGAUGGCGAAGGCAGCCUCCUGGGACAUAACUGACGCUCAGGCACGAAAGCGUGGGGAGCAAACAGGAUUAGAUACCCUGGUAGUCCACGCCGUANACGAUGGAUACNAGGUGUAGGAGGUAUCGACCCCUCCUG